rnacentral:tRNA from 1 species
GUGGGUAUAGCUCAGUCGGUAGAGCGCCGGAUUGUGAUUCCGGAAGUCACGGGUUCGAGCCCCGUUACCCACCCCA